rnacentral:rRNA from 1 species
UGCGUAGGCGGCGGCGCAAGUUGGGUGUGAAAUCCCUCGGCUCAACCGAGGAACUGCGCUCAAAACUGCGUCGCUUGAGGGAGAUAGAGGUGAGUGGAACUUAGGGUGGAGCGGUGAAAUGCGUUGAUAUCCUAAGGAACACCAGUGGCGAAAGCGACUCACUGGGUCUCUUCUGACGCUGAGGCACGAAAGCUAGGGUAGCGAACGGGAUUAGAUACCCCGGUAGUCCUAGCCGUAAACGAUGAGCACUGGGUUGAAGGGUCCUCCAUAGCCCUUCAGCCGUAGCGAAAGUGUUAAGUGCUCCGCCUGGGGAGUAUGGUCGCAAGGCUGAA